UGUUGAACUACAUUAUUCAUUACAAUGAAUCAGAUGCAGAAUCUUACAACUAUGGUUAAUUUGUUCAAAUCUGUUCACCUGAUUGGAAAAACCUGAGACUAUUUGAUCUUAUUGGAAUGCCUACCAAUUUUACAUAGCCUCGGGCAAUGUUUAUAUAAUUAAUCUCGAGUAAUAGAGAUGCUGUACCCCCUGAGGGAGUAACCCUACUACCUGGAUUAUCCCACUAGACAAGACAAGUUCAAAACUUUCCAUGCAAACACUUGCAUGGCAGUUGCUAUAAUAGGAUAUGAAUAUAAUUUUGCCUUGCCACCCGGAGACCAUAUAAACAGGCCUUAUGAGGGCCACAAGUUCAUCAGUACUUCAUGUACUUCAGUACAAGAUGUACUGUAAAGCUAGACAAUUUUACUUGUUAACCCAUUGAGUCACAUUGCACCCUACUUUACUAUUUUACUGUCUAACACCAGAUGAUCCAGUUAACCCAUUGAGUUGCAUUGUGCCCU
rnacentral:lncRNA from 1 species